GAAAUGCGAUACGUAAUGUGAAUUGCAGAAUUCAGUGAAUCAUCGAGUCUUUGAACGCACAUUGCGCCCCCUGGUAUUCCGGGGGGCAUGCCUGUCCGAGCGUCAUUGCUGCCCUCAAGCACGGCUUGUGUGUUGGGCCCUCGUCCCCCGGGACGGGCCCGAAAGGCAGCGGCGGCACCGCGUCCGGUCCUCGAGCGUAUGGGGCUUCGUCACCCGCUCUGUAGGCCCGGCCGGCGCCUGCCGACACCAUCAAUCUUUUUUCCAGGUUGACCUCGGAUCAGGUAGGGAUACCCGCUGAACUUAA
rnacentral:misc_RNA from 1 species